rnacentral:tRNA from 1 species
ACCGGAGUGGCUCAGUCUGAAGAGCAUGGGAUUCUUGAUCUCAGGAUUGUGAGUUCGAACCCCAUGUUGGGUG